GAUGAACGCUGGCGGCGUGCCUAAUACAUGCAAGUCGAGCGAACGGAUUAAGAGCUUGCUCUUAUGAAGUUAGCGGCGGACGGGUGAGUAACACGUGGGUAACCUGCCCAUAAGACUGGGAUAACUCCGGGAAACCGGGGCUAAUACCGGAUAACAUUUUGAACCGCAUGGUUCGAAAUUGAAAGGCGGCUUCGGCUGUCACUUAUGGAUGGACCCGCGUCGCAUUAGCUAGUUGGUGAGGUAACGGCUCGCCAAGGCAACGAUGCGUAGCCGACCUGAGAGGGUGAUCGGCCACACUGGGACUGAGACACGGCCCAGACUCCUACGGGAGGCAGCAGUAGGGAAUCUUCCGCAAUGGACGAAAGUCUGACGGAGCAACGCCGCGUGAGUGAUGAAGGCUUUCGGGUCGUAAAACUCUGUUGUUAGGGAAGAACAAGUGCUAGUUGAAUAAGCUGGCACCUUGACGGUACCUAACCAGAAAGCCACGGCUAACUACGUGCCAGCAGCCGCGGUAA
rnacentral:rRNA from 1 species